AUCUGUGUGUGUGCACGUGUGUGUGUCUGUGUGCAUACGCACGUGUCUCUGUGUCUGUGUGCAUAUCUGUGUGUGCAUGUGUGUGUCUCUGUGUGCACGUGUGUCUGUGCGUGCACAUGCACGUGUGUGCAUGUAUGUCUGUGUGUGCACACGUGUGUGUGUCUGUCCGUGUGUGUGUGUGUGCACGCGUGCACGCCUUUCCCUUCUCUCCACCAGGCCCUUCUCCCACAGCUGCCAUCUGGGGUCACAGGCUUUCUGCCUGAAGACCUCCUGCUGGUUGUUCCUAGUCAGGGCACUAGCAAUAAAUUUUGUUUUUUUGAUGGCCUGAAAAUGUCAUAAUUUCCCUUUCCAUUUAGAAAGAUUCUUUCUCUGGGAUAGACAUUCAGUUUGGUGGCUGUUUUCUUUCAGUUCUUUGAAGACAUUCCAUUAUCUUCUAGCCACNNNNNNNNNNNNNNNNNNNNNNNNNNNNNNNNNNNNNNNNNNNNNNNNNNNNNNNNNNNNNNNNNNNNNNNNNNNNNNNNNNNNNNNNNNNNNNNNNNNUUGAAGACAUUCCAUUAUCUUCUAGCCACCCCCAACUCUGCGGAAGCUGCUAUCAAUGGCAUAAGAAACCACCCCCAAAACCCAUGGCUGAAAACAACAAGCGGUGCAAUUCUGCAUGAGUCUGCGAGGGAGCGGGGGCCGGCUGCGGGGCUGUGCUCCUGCGACUCUCCUCCUGGGGGUCUGGGUAUAACAACGUCAGAGCAGCAGCAUCAAGACCUCAUCCUUCUGACCUCGCCUGAUGGUCAAACGAGUCAUAGCCAAGGCCAGAAUCAGGCAGCGGGGCGGAAGCUCCUCCUGCGAUCCAGGCUUGCCUGGUAGAGGGCAUGCGUGCAGGAAGAGGGAAGACCUGGGGCUUACUGCCAUCUUGCCCGUGGUUUUCUUAGAACCUUUGAGGUUAGACAUGUUUUCUCUGGCUAUGAUGGCUUUUUUAAAUUUGUGUUUUCAACAGCUUCACUAUAUUACUCCCAGGUGUGUGUGUGCACACACACAUGCCUAUUCUCUGGAUUUGUGGUGCUUCCUGAGCUUUUGCGUGAUGUCUCUCCCUUGUUCUGGAAACCUGCUAGUCUUCAUCUCCUCAGACGCUCUGUCCCUUCUUCGUCUCCUCCCCUGUGGACUGUGACUCACAGUAAGCUCCCUCCCUGUUCAUGGGUCUCUCCGUCUCUUUAUAUUUUCCAUCCUUUUUUCUCUCUGGAUAGUGUCUUCUUUUUAAGAUUUUUUUUAUGUGAACCAUUUUUCAAAGCCUUUAUUGAAUUUGUUACACUAUCGCUUCUGUUUCAUGUUUGGUUUUUUGGCCCUGAGGCAUGAGGGAUCUGAGCUCCCUGACCAGGGACCAAACUUGCAAGCCCUGCCCUGGAAAUCGAAGUCUUCACCACUGGACCCCCAGGGAAGUCCCUGGAUACGGUCUACUGACCUAUGUCACUCCUCCCCACUUACACUGUGUCUCAUCUGCUACUAGACCCAUCGGCUGCAUUUCUAAAUUCAACAUAUGCAUUUUACAGGGCUACCAUGUCUGUGUGGUUCUUCUCUACAGACUGUAGAAAAUCUAAAAAUUCUCUGAAACUCUCCACUUACCAACUACUGUUUCAAACAGCUGAAUCACCGGUGUUUCACCAUCAGAGGCUGAUGACCUCAACACCCGCACCGUUUCACAUCUGCCUCUGCCACCCCCCAUUCCCUCUCGCCCUGUCGACACGCACAGCGGUCUUGGCCGAACGCUGACGCAGCGUGUGAACGGUGGAACCCCUCGCCGGGCUCUCAGCUGCACACAGGGCCUCUCCUCGGCUCCCAGCAGCCAGAGGCGCAGGGCGCCGGCCAUGCACCCUUCAUCCUGCUGCAUUCCCAGCCUUUCACGGUCUGACCAGAGGCCUCGCUGGUCCACCGGGGUCCUCACACCUAGGCAGGCCCUGGCCCAGCGCGCACGCCCGCAGCAGCUCUGCGCACCUGCUCUGGGCCUGCUCUCUCUCAGCCUCCCUCCGAGGGCCUCGAUGACUGAUCGGCCUGGACUGGCCCAUUGUCCUGCGGUCCUGGGACUUCAGGUCCUGGCUGUUGUCAUAGCUCCAUGCAUCUUCUACCAGAAGUUUUCUGUACUUUAUCCAGCUUUUCUAUUUGCUCUGAGGUAAAAUUUUUCUGUUGCAAACUGGCCAUCACACCCAGAAGCAGAAAUGUCCUCAGCAAAAUUCAAGGGGGCUUCACAAAUGGCCUGUGCAUUCUUCAGGUCACUCCAAGACGGCUUAAACUCCUGAUGCCCCUACUUUCUUUCACUGCGUCUUCUUUUGUUGUUGGUGUUUAGGAAAACGCUCCAUCUCUGCGUUAAGCAUGCAGCUUACACUGUCAGUAGCUCUUCAGCGGGUUCACUGAGGUUUUCCAUAAAUAAUCAUAUCACCUGAAAACGACGGUCAUGC
rnacentral:lncRNA from 1 species